GGAUAGAGAAUAUAUCAGGGGAUCCCGGAAUACCAACUAUCGUUUCGGUGUUUCGAAGUAUUGCAGAUAUGUUUUCAAUAAAGCCCUCCGGGAAGCCAUAGUGUCGAUUGUUCGAUGAUGUAUUUAUGUGAAACUGAGUCAAAUGUUUUCUCAAUUUGAGCACCACCGCAUACUUGCUUCCUGUUGAAGAAUCAAUAGCAUACUGAACUGGGCGUGGAUUAUGUUCUUUUAGGCGAAGUUUCAUAAACCCUUUUUGAGCCGGGAGAUGUUUUGUGGUAGAUAUUUUAUUAUUCGGAGAUUAAGAAUGCCUAAUCAAAGUCAGAGAGCCACAACUCAUAAAGUCUGGGAUAAAGCCUUUCUUAAAUAUUUACUCGAAAACCUUCACGAGUAUUGGCGAUAAAAGUAAAUCAAACUCUUUAUAGAACUCGAAAGGCAGGCCCGAGGGGCCGGGAGAUUUAUAUUUCUUUCUAUAACUACGAAAAAAACUGAGAAUAUCAUGGGCUCCCAUUUGCUGAAUAGUAAAGGUUUCCAUUCCGUUGAAUCCUUUAUCGGGCUCCAACCGUAGCAGAAGUAAGAGAUAUUCAACACACAGUCUGGACAGCCGUACAGGUUUGUGUAAAAAUUGCUAAUUUCUCUAGUAAUUUCGCAGGGCUCUUCUGUGAUCUCAUCCGUUGGUAAAAGUAUAGAUAUUCUAUCGCUUCUUUCAUAUGUUUGCAUGAUUUCCCUUUCUAAUUUAAAUUUAUGAAUUCCUUCCUGAAGCGUAACAGUGCCCCUUUCUCUCGUAUACCAGAAGCUCCUCCAGUUUUAAGGAUGAGUUUCUUCUCUGCCUUUUUGAAUGAAGAUCUCCCUCGUUUGAGAGUCAAUGAGUCUCAGGGUAUCCCAUAGAGACAAAAGUCCACUUUCCAUCUUUAGGCUGUAGCUAAAAUGACCUUGGUUAUAUCAUCUUGUGUACUUUUUGAAUCUAGUAAAUAGACAUAGAGCUUCCAUGAAGAUUUCCUGUUUGAGGGAAGACACUAAAUUGAUGCUAAAACUGGGCAGUGAUCUGAGAUGUACCGUGGAAGCACGCUGAAUUCGUUUAGGAGGUUUGCUACUCGGCGAGAAGCGAUUAUAUAAUCUAGUCUGCCCCUUAAUACUUUGCCAGUCCUCGUUUUUCCAUUAAAAGUCAUUUUUGGAGGGAGGUUAUCACAUGUGAGACCUAAAUCUUGUAAGUUAUAAUCGUAUAUUAUUUAUUCCAGAUCUGAAGCACUAUUUUUAUUGUAUGAACUUUUAUAACCCUGGGCGUCCCGACUUGGUUUUUGCGUUACAUUUAAGUUCCCCGCUAAUCAUAACUCCUUCCUGUCCAAAGAGCCUCCUCUAACUAGUUUUGAGAACAAAUUUUUAGAAUGAUUGUUUCGGCCAUAAACUGCAAACAAUGUUGUUCGGUUUCCAUGGAAAUCCAAAUCGGCGACAACGUAAUUACCUCCUGUACGGCUGAGUUGAUUUUCUAUUAGCCUUUGAAUAGAAAAGAACAUGUCUUCGGGAGAAGAUGGGUGAACUUGUUUAUAUCCUGCACUCUUGAAUCGACCAACGUUAUAAUAUCUGGUAAAAGCAAGGCACUGAUGUAAUUAAAUACCUUGGAGGCCCUGCUAAAUGAAAAAGUGGAAUUUACAUUGGAAGAUACAAGAGUUGCCAUAAUAAUAGUGGUGGUUUAAAAUUUGGUAAAAGAGAGAAAAGUGGCUCUUGAGAGCUUCUGAUGAUGCCCAAGAAUUAUCUAGAACCUGAUCUGACAUAAACUAAAGACUAUACCGACCAACGUAAAAAAAAAAACCGCUUCAGAUAAGUUGCUAUUGUUAUAUUUAAAAAAAACAACCGCAAUCCUAAUUUGAUUAUAAAUGUUUCACUGGCCUCCCUCUUUUCUUUUUAGAAUGACUUUCCACCUGUGGAGGCAUUAGGCCUCAGUCGUAGUACGGCUUUAAUUUGAGUAUUUUGGGGACCAAAAUGGACCUUUUUUUUGUUAUUUAAUCUGGCGAUAAUAUUCCUUCUUCGUGGGGUGUUCUGGCAAUGUUAUUUUCCUUUAUUUUCCCCUUUUCAGAGGCAGGAGACCUCUGUCUUUUAUAGGAUUUAUCUUCUUUUCUAGGUAAUAUUGGUUAUUUAUUCGACACGUACCCGUCAGGGCCUUAACUGCUACGGAUGUUAAGAAGAGGAUCAUUUGUGUCACUCAAGAUUAUGGAAGUCUUAACAGACUCUGUAUCACCUUCUUCAACUCCAGACUUUACUGUUCUUAAAUCAACUUGAAGGUUCUCUUCACGGGAUAUGGCAUAAUUAUUUACUUGCAUUCUAUCAAUAUUUUCAGGUUCUCUCUCCGUUUGGAUUUUCUAGGAUAAGGAAAUAUUCGAAGAAGACAGUUUCGUAAAUAAUAUGAUUUUUCAAUGCCUUGUCAUCGGUAUUUUCACCACUGGGGUUAAUAAAUUCCUUGAAGUGGGAUGUCCUUCUGUGAUUCCACAACGAUAGUGUUUUCAUCAGUUCUCUCAUCAUUGUUUUUCAUAGAACUUUCCUGCCUCAAUCUUUGGGUUGUGCCUUUUGCCUCUACCUUACUAUGAAUAACAAGUUUCAGUUUAUUUAUUUGAUUAUCUGAGAGGGUUUCACUCAGUUUCUAGAUUUGAACUUUUUUCCGUUUGAAAUACAGCUUCCUGGUAUGACUUCGUUGUAUUAUUGAU
rnacentral:lncRNA from 1 species